CCCCUCUCAGCAUCGCACCUGGAGAGUUUCCAGUACUCUACCAGUUUAGGCUAUGGGUAGGAGAGUCAAGCAGAGGCAUACCCAUUCCAUUCCUAGCUUGGGCAGUGGCUAGUGAGUGUAAAGCCAUCUGCUACAAGU
rfam:Ornithorhynchus anatinus chromosome 3, whole genome shotgun sequence.